CAGUAGCCGCGGUAAUACGAAGGGGGCUAGCGUUGCUCGGAAUGACUGGGCGUAAAGGGCGCGUAGGCGGCGGCCAAAGUCAGGCGUGAAAUUCCCGGGCUCAACCUGGGGGCUGCGUUUGAUACUUGGUUGCUUGAGUGGGGAAGAGGGUCGUGGAAUUCCCAGUGUAGAGGUGAAAUUCGUAGAUAUUGGGAAGAACACCGGUGGCGAGGGCGGCGACCUGGUCCUUUACUGACGCUGAGGCGCGAAAGCGUGGGGAGCAAACAGGAUUAGAUACCCGCGUAGUCCCUGUCUCUUAUAA
rnacentral:rRNA from 1 species